UACGGAGGAUGCGAGCGUUAUCCGGAUUUAUUGGGUUUAAAGGGUGCGCAGGCGGUCUUUUAAGUCUGAUGUGAAAGCCCCCGGCUUAACCGGGGAGGGUCAUUGGAAACUGGGAGACUUGAGUGCAGAAGAGGAAAGCGGAAUUCCAUGUGUAGCGGUGAAAUGCGUAGAUAUAUGGAGGAACACCAGUGGCGAAGGCGGCUCUCUGGUCUGUAACUGACGCUGAGGCUCGAAAGCGUGGGGAGCAAACAGGAUUAGAUACCCUGGUAGUCCACGCCGUAAACGAUGAGUGCUAAGUGUUGGAGGGUUUCCGCCCUUCAGUGCUGCAGCAAACGCAUUAAGCACUCCGCCUGGGGAGUACGACCGCAAGGUUGAA
rnacentral:rRNA from 1 species